rnacentral:rRNA from 1 species
CCCUUAGAUGUUCUGGGCUGCACGCGUGCUACAAUGGCGCUUGCAACAAGUCUUGCCAACCCGAUAGGGUGAGCGGAUCUUUGAAGAGGCGUCGUGAUCGGGACAGUUGAUUGCAAUUAUUUGACUCAAACGAGGAAUUCCUUGUAAUCGCGAUUCAUCAUAUCGCGCUGAAUACGUCCCUGCCCUUUGUACACACCGCCCGUCGCUCCUACCGAUUGAGCGAUCCGGUAAAUGUUUUGGAUUGGUGCCGGGGCGGCUAGCUGCCGGUCGCUACGAAAUUUUGUGAACCUUAUCGCUUAGAGGAAGGAAAAGUCGUAACA